UACAUAGGGGGCAAGCGUUGUCCGGAAUUAUUGGGCGUAAAGCGCGCGCAGGCGGUCCUUUAAGUCUGAUGUGAAAGCCCACGGCUCAACCGUGGAGGGUCAUUGGAAACUGGGGGACUUGAGUACAGAAGAGGAAAGCGGAAUUCCACGUGUAGCGGUGAAAUGCGUAGAGAUGUGGAGGAACACCAGUGGCGAAGGCGGCUUUCUGGUCUGUAACUGACGCUGAGGCGCGAAAGCGUGGGGAGCAAACAGG
rnacentral:rRNA from 1 species